UAUAACUGUAACAUAUAUUAGUAAAACUAAUAUUAGCAUUAGUAUAACUAUAAUUGUACUGCUACUGAAUUGGCAGAUAAUUAACAUUUUAGGUCAAACAGGAAGAUGACAGACCUGAAAUUGUUGUGAGAGACAUUUAAAAAGGUUUGCUUGUAAUUAUGUGCAGCUGGAGGGAGACUGACUCGAAGGAAAAAUAACCUCAAGGUCAUGUGUUGUUGGAGUCAGCAUCGUGUUGAGCGUGUGACCGCGGCUUGUUUGGCUCGGAAAAUCCCACAGCUGUGACGUUCAGAGACGGGGACCGGGCGGUGAGACUUGUUUUGUGACUAAGGCCCGCUGCUUCAGGCUGCCGUUACAGAUGAGACAGAGACCAGAGACAAACACUGACAUGACAGACUCCCCUCCGCUCGCCACAGUUCAACUCUUAACGAGGUUGCUGCCAAAUAACCCCCCGGACCCCGACUAAUCACAGCGAUCUUCCUCACGUAAAUGCCUGCCUGCCUGUUACUCGUCCUUCUUCUCCUCAUCUCCCUAUGAUCUUCAGAAGACGCAUUCAAACCACAAUAGAUGCAAAGAGCAACAAUAUAUCUGGGUAAUAAGUAACACAAAUCAGGUGAAGGUCAGGUUACCUAAAAUAAUGUGCUUCUUAUGGUAACAUGGCUUUAUUCAAGCAAAAAAUAAUGUUUCCAUUGAUGCAGUUUUACAGAUGCCUUCAUCUAAAGUUAAUCAGUUACUUGGGAAUGACACUUGCCAUUGUUACCAUUGUUAAUGGAAGUCAUUUUUAAGGAAAACAUUUCACAUUUUACACUAGUACAGUAUAGUAUAGUUUUCCAGUAAAAAGCCAUGUUUUUUUGCAGUAAUUGGUGUGUGACAAAAGAGUGCAGCUUUGUUUCUGUAUCAAACUGUAUACGGUACACUACCCUAUAACAAUCAAAUGUGCUUUUUUAGAAUGUCUCUCUUAGUUAGUUGUGCUGCUGUUAAACGCUGUUUGUUAUAAGUUGAAUAUUUUUGUGUGUUUAUUACAGUUUUGUGUGCAAUAUAAAUCAUGGUCCAUGUUGCUAAUGUAUAGUUUCGCUGCAUCAUCAUUGGCAUUAUCUCAUUUCCCUUUUAAUUAAAUGUUGUUUUAUUU